CUCGCCGCCGGGGGAGGGGGGCGCCCGCCGCGGGCCGUGGCCUUGCCCCAAGGUGGGCGCGCUGACGACAGUUGAUUUCCUGGGAGGAAGGGAAGACGCGGGGAUGCGGGGAGACUGCAAAGGAGGAAGGGAAAGGGAGCUGUGGAGGUUUUGCCUGCACUGGAGGAAGAGGAAGGAAACGUAGAAGGAGGAAGCGGCCGGGGCGAGGGGCUGCCGAACAAAUGGGGGAACCUGCGUCCACUGUUAGGGCGCCAGAUUAGGGGGCUGAAUCUGAGCAGACGAGAUCCUGCCGUGGAAUUCCCUUCCGAGAUCUUCCUCAUGAGCCCCGCCCCGGAUUCCCAGCGAGGUUCAGAGCUGGCCCAGACCAACUUCCAACCCGUCCACUUCACACAUGGGAAAACUGGAGCUCUGGAAGAGAAAUGACUCCUACAAGGUCAUGCCCGCCACAGAUCCAGGCGCGGGACCCGGAUGCUCGGCCUCCCAUCUGUGUUCCUGUCUCCAGGCAGAGCCGCGACUCCCUCCUUCCCGCGGAGCAGUGAAACAAGCUAGAUGUCAGCGGGCAACGAGGACCACCCUGGGAAGAGAUUCAGAGCUUCCCUGGGCCCCGGAGGGAGUCAGUUCCUGGAAGGUUCUAAUUGCCAGUGAGCCCUGGAUAGCCAUGCCAAUCAGUGACUUCAAGGCAACUCCCUCUAUCCGGUGCUCAAAUAAACGAAACCCUGGAGUUCACUUCACAGCCCUGCCGGAAGCCCAGAAAGCUUAUUCUGUGCUUACAGCUUCAAAAAAUAUCUGCGAACUGGAUGAAAGGCAAGCCUGUUCUUGGAAGGUUUGAGUGGGACUUUUUUUCCUCAGAAAGUUGUAAAUGUGAGCAACCAGGGGACCCACCAAUUACUGUGUCAGGGGGUUAAAAUGUGCAGCAGCCAUUGCCAGGAAGGCACUCCAAGGUUGGAGGCUGUUUCCUUGUAUUUCUAUACUGCUGAUGUCCUCACCUCAGCACAUCAUAAAAGCACUUUCUCACUGGUUUAUUAGAUCUUCUUGUUAGGAGAAAUUAUAGUCCAUCGUUUACAUUUGAGGUAAAAAGUCAGGUAAAAUGACUUACCCAACACAAAAUAAGCAACAGAGCAAGCACCUGAACCCACCUCCCCCCAGCCAGGUCACCUGACUAAUCCCAUGAUUUUUCCACCCAACAAGGAGGCCCUGACCUCCUAAUUUCUGUUAAUGAAUGUUGAGAGUACACCGUGAGUUAGUAAUUCAUGAAACCUCCAAAACUUGGUUCUUUGGGGAUUUGGUGGGAUUCUUUUUGACCAAGAAUUAAACAGACGCAGAAACACAUUUCUGCACUUACCAUUUAUCGAGCAUCUUCUUAGUGCGAAGUCUUUGAAUCCAGACAUUCUUGAGUCCAAAUUACUCCAUCUCUCUUGCUCUCAGUUUCUCAUCUACUCAUACAAAAAUAUGAAAAUAGUAGUAGAGGUAAGGUCAAGGGUACCUAUUCUGUGCAAUAAUGAAGUAUUUUUGUCUUUGCAACUAAUGUAGUUUGAAAUGGAAACAUGAGCUCUUAAAGAGAUUUUAUUCUGGGUCUUUAAAAAGAUCAUUCUAUUACACCACAAUUCACUUACUCUGUUCUCAACAUUUCAGCAAACCCACGUUCUGAGUGCUACUGUUUAACAUGAAAAACUCCUGGUAUCACACAAACUAAGAAUAGAUUCACCCGUUCCCCAAUGGACAUAAUGGGACUUGACCAGUGCUUCUUUUUUUUUCUUCCCCAGUAACCCACUUAUAAAGAAUAAUAGGGUUCUAUUGAGGAUUAAUAAGAUUUAAUAAUGUAUAAUUAGCAUUCAUUUCCUUCAUCAUACACAUUGUAAGAGUGCAGUGUUAGAUCAAGAAAUGCUCCUAAUUAUGUUGAAACUGUCGUAUGAGUGUGUUGGGGAAGAUCACUGUGUCUCUCCUCCUGAAAUAUUUAUGAAUUGCUCAGGUGGGCCUAGAGUGAGCACAAGCAUUAUAUAAAGUUAAUCACAAAAGAUAAUUUCUACUCAGGUGGCACUCACCAGGAGUGUAAGAGGCAAAGUCAUAAAUUGGAUGCUUGGCGAACAGCAUGCAGUGUUGUCAUCAGUGCAAACCCAAAUCAAAAGCCUUCUCAUUUGCUGAUCUGGUUUCUUUUGUAUUCACACUUUUCUCAACAACCCUAUUAAAACCUGCUGAGUGCAGGGACUUGGGAAAGAAGGGAAGGCUGUGUAAAUCUGCAGACUCAGUGCUAGAGAAAUACAGGUUUACCAAUUCAGAGACUAAAAGAAGCACGGAGUUUCAGGUGGGGCGGAGGGCAUGUGACUGAAGGAUUGAGAGUGAUGACACCAAAGACUGAACGCUAGGCUGUGUUCCCACCAUUUGCUUGCAUCCAUGACAAUCGCUUUCCCCAAGGCCUUUGUGUAGCUCUUGUCAGCCCUUUCUCUGUCCUCAUAUAUGCCUGGCAAUAUUCUAAGGAUUUUUAUCUGCAUUUCACUGAACCCUCAGAAAACCCUUCUGAGGUUGGCAUUAUUAUUUUCUCUAGCCCAAGGAGGUUAAGUAGCAUGCUCUUAACACAGAGCUAGUACCCGGUUAAACUGAGACGCCCCACUGAGCCCAGGCAGCCUGACUCUUCCCUUACCCACUGCUGAGUGGCCAUCUGGUCUCAGAUUGAACAUUCCAAUGUGCAGAACUCAUAAUCUGCCAUGGCUGUCCAAGAGGAAAAGAUAUGAAGAGGCUACUGGAGAAAUAAUAAGAACAGGGACAUUGAAGAUGGAAGGCAGAGGAAGAUGCAGAAGGUAAAAGGCCUGGGCAUUUAAUUAAAAUCGGAUAACUUCCUCAAGAGAUGAAGACUGGAUGUAGGCAGACCAGUGGGAAGGGAGAGGAAGAAUCAACAGGGCCUGGCCACUUGGAAACAGAAGCAGGAUGGACAUGGGGAGGCAAAGGAGAGGAAGCAGCCAUUGGCAACACCUGGGACUUACGAUCAAAUGUUAUCCAGUGAGUGAGUGAAUGCAAGAAUCCUUCAUCUCGGCUAGAAAAACAACACAGUUGAUCGUCUCUCUGGAAGACUGGUCAUGUUAUCUUAGACCAUGACUCUGGGCAGAUGACUCAUCUGGGAGUGAAGUCACGACUACACUCCUGGGACUCCAUCUCUAGAGAGAAGAGCUAAUCAUAAUGCUUUCUUCCCUGCUUUCUUGUGGGGAGUCCUCUGAAGUCAAAGACCCAAGCCCAGUCAUCUUUUUACCCAACAUCUGUCUAACAUCUUGCAGGCCUUCAGGGAAUGUUAUGUAUGAGACUUUCUGGACUCAGCUUCUCCUUCUCUAAACAAAGAGUGGGAUCUAAAUUGCUAAUAUCGGGCUUCCCUGGUGGCGCAGUGGUUAAGAAUCCACCUGCCAGUGCAGGGGACAUGGGUUCGAGCCCUGGUCUGGGAAGAUCCCACGUGUCGCGGAGCAACUAAACCCCUGCGCCACAACUACUGAGCCUGCACUCUAGAGCCCGAGAGCCACGACUACUGAGCCCACGUGCCACAACUACUGAAGCCCGUGCACCUAGAGCCCGUGCUCCACAACAAGAGAAGCCACCGCAAUGAGAAGCCCGCGCACCGCAACGAAGAGUAGCCCCUGCUCACCGCGACUAGGAAAAGCCCGUGCACAGCAAUGAGGACCCCAACGCAGCCACAAAUACAUAAUAAAUUAAUUAAUUAGUUUUAAAAAAUUAUAAAAAAAUAAAUUGCUAAUAUCCUUUUCAGCUGCAAGGGUCUGUGAUUUAAAGAUCGAGGUCUUCACUUCGCUCAUCUUUAACCAGAUGGUUGACUCACCUCAAAUCCUCUGAAACUUGGACAUUUCAGCUGGAUGAGAAGCUGAAGGAUGAGCUGGUCCUUUCAGGUCCGGAGAGAGAGGAGUUUUUGCAGGGACCUGAACUGUGAUGUCCUUGGCUGAUGUGUACUUGGAGGUAAUAACACCUUGUGUUUAUGGAGCCUCUUGUUUCUGAGGCGCUCAAAGGGCUUCCCAUACAUUAUCUCACUCUUCCUCAUGAUCAUACCCUGGCAUACCCAGUGCCAAUGGGUUAAGUGGUUUUCCCAUAACCCUCUGACGGCAGAGUCAGGACCAGAACUCAGGUCGCCAGACCUGUUAUUGCAUCCUACCGCUUUCAGGAUCGAUGCUCUGCCUCAUGGAGAAGGGACAAUUUUCCAUCACUGUUGUAAGGGCUUGGGACAGCUGCUGGAGCCGCUGGGGAGAAAAUGCUCUUCUCUCCUCUCCUGCUCCAGCCUCAUGAAGUUGAUAAUGUAUGAACUGAUUCUAAUUUGAGCACGGGUGAAUCAUCCUCUGGAAGAAUGAAUCAGGGACAUCUACUGAUGCCAGAGUGCAAUAUGGGGGGCCAUUGGAAGCCUGAGUGGUCUCCCAGGUUCGGUGGGUACUGUGCUUCAGUAAUACGAUAUCAGAAACCUUAGCUGGACCAUCCAUUUCACUCCUUGAUUAUUUCCUACAUGAUAAAAUGACAUUGCGGAAGCUGGGAAAAAGGAAUGGAUUUAUAGUCAGGAGGUCUGAGUUUCAUUCAAGUAUUAAUAUGUAUUCUGGUGCCAUGUGCUACUGGGAAAAGUACUUAAUCUCUCUGUUCUUCAAUUUCCCCAUUGAUGAAAAUGGGUAAUACCUGCCUCAUCAAUUUGUUAUAAAGAACAAAUAAGAGACAUUGUAAGCCAGUCGUGGUUUUCCAAACAUUUGGGAUACUUGGUAGUUCCAGGGAAUACUCUAAGCCACAGUGAUAUCAACUUCAGCCAAGAUUUGGGGGAAAUUAAUUUUAUAUUAAAAUAAGGACACAUUUAUGGUACAGUAGCAAGCUAAAAUUGAAUACAUUUUAAAGAUAAAUUUUAUUUUGCUCCAGAGAUGGAGGAGGG